rnacentral:rRNA from 1 species
UACGUAGGGGGCAAGCGUUGUCCGGAAUCAUUGGGCGUAAAGAGCGUGUAGGCGGCCCGGUAAGUCUGUUGUGAAAGUCCAGGGCUCAACCCUGGAAAGCCGAUGGAUACUGCCGGGCUAGAGUUCGGAAGAGGCGAGUGGAAUUCCUGGUGUAGCGGUGGAAUGCGCAGAUAUCGGGAAGAACACCUAUGGCGAAGGCAGCUCUCUGGGACGGUACUGACGCUGAGACGCGAAAGCGUGGGGAGCGAACAGG